rnacentral:rRNA from 1 species
CCUACGGGGGGCAGCAGUGGGGAAUAUUGGACAAUGGGGGCAACCCUGAUCCAGCAAUGCCGCGUGUGUGAUGAAGGCCUUAGGGUUGUAAAGCACUUUCACUGGUGAAGAUGAUGACGGUAACCAGAGAAGAAGCCCCGGCUAACUUCGUGCCAGCAGCCGCGGUAAUACGAAGGGGGCGAGCGUUGUUCGGAAUUACUGGGCGUAAAGGGAGCGCAGGCGGUUCAUUCAGUUAGGCGUGAAAGCCCCGGGCUCAACCUGGGAACUGCGCUUAAUACUGAUGAGCUAGAAAACAGGAGAGGGUAGUGGAAUUUCCAGUGUAGAGGUGAAAUUCGUAGAUAUUGGAAAGAACACCGGUGGCGAAAGCGGCUACCUGGCCUGGUUUUGACGCUGAGGCUCGAAAGCGUGGGGAGCAAACAGGAUUAGAUACCCGGGUAGUC